GAUGCGGAGGAGGUUGUGACGAUGGCCGCUGGUAGCUCAUGCGCCCACGCCGAGUGGCACUGUGGUGGCAGCAUGGCUCGUUGCUAGAUCCGGUGGUCUGGGCCUGCUGGGCGUUAAAUCCCAUGCGUUCGGUGCAGAUCUGGUGGUGGCCGGCGAGGCCGUGGUCGCUACGAACCCGAUCUAGACAACCACGGCGCUGGGUCACCUCCUUCCUGGGUCACGGCAGCAGUUGGUUCAGGUUGCAGGUUUGCAACAAGCAAGACAAAUGAGAGACAUGGUAGCUUGGCCCUUCCUGACAGUUUUUUGUGAGGUGCAAUUCAGCUUUGUGUUGAAAAUUAGGAUGAGACAAGCAACUAGAAGAGAUGGUGAUUUUGAUUCCACUGAUGAUAUUGCUAUCAAUACCCUCGGUCCUUUUGCUUUUUAGUGGAGCAGGACAUUCCUUAACUGUAGUUACAUUAGAAUGAUUUAGACAAGUAUUUUGGCAUCAGACCAUAUGUUAUUAUGACCUGUGAUUUAGUCCUGUGAGUACGUCAUGCAGAGAGUAUCCAAUGGCACUAUGUUGAUUUUAUCAUCAAUAUAAACUGUAUGUGUUAUGUGGGUGGCCUAUAAUCUGUGUUGAGAUGUUGUUUAAUGCAAAAUAUGUGUUAUGUGGGCUGAGAUGUACAUUGGCCCAAAAUA